rnacentral:tRNA from 1 species
UGGGGAGUGGCGCAAUUGGUAGCGCAGUGGAUUCUGACUCCAAAGGCUGAAGGUUCGAUUCCUUCCUCCCCAG